AUACUUACUUGGACGGAGUCUUUACGGGUGAUCAGUGAUGUCUAUGGCCUAGAAUAGUGAUCUUCAAUGCACACUGAAGAGGCGCUGGUCUACCAUUUGCCCAAUUGACUGAGUGGAUGUCUUAAUUUGUGUUAGGGGAUGCGAGCCUGCAUGGCUCCUUA